CGCCGCACUUAGGGGUGGCUUUGGCCUGAGAUACUGCGGUAAACCCUUAGAACCUGAUCCGGUUAGAACCGGCGUAGGGAAAGUGCAGAUGGUUCCA
rnacentral:ncRNA from 2 species